UUCAGAAUCUCUCGCUGGCUCCCCUCUGGCAGUGGACUCUCCUUUGUCCCUCAGGCAGAGGGCACUGCUUCCGAGGAACAGGUUAGAGGGGAUCGGAGGAGCCGUCUCACAGGGCAUUGAAAAUAUGCAGGGAACCUCUCCUUCAUCUCACCUUUGCAGAGGAAUGGAAGCUGUGCCUGUGCAGCCAGAACAGGGUCCUGUAACCUUUGACGAAGUUGCCGUGAAUUUCACAGAGGCGGAGUGGGCAUUGCUGGAUCAGAACCAAAGGGCCUGCCACAGGGACGUCAUGGAUGAGACGCGUGAAAAUGUGUUGUCUUUGGGUGAGAUUUGCUUUCCUCCCCCUU